UCAACUGCAAACCACUAAAUUCUUGUAUGGUUGUGUUACAAUGCAUGUCAGGUUGAUGGAGACCAGAUAUGCUGUUAUGGUUGCCCAUCAACAUAUAGGAAAUAGCAUUACAUUACAAGUGGUACUUUCAGACGUGGUCGAAGCAUAUAUAAGAAAUAGCAUCAGAGUCACUUUGGUGGCUGGAGUGUGUGAAGCAUAGUGACUAAUUUUAGUUCAUUGGUUCAAAUGGUAAUGCAAUGCAGCCUUAAUGCAGUUGUGUAUGGGAGUAACUGUUGGAUCAGGGCUUACAUUCUUACCUUAUAAUUAUUUGCUCUAAGUUUUCAUGCUUUUCCAUGUCUUGGGCUUUCAUUGUCAGCUUCUUGAUGCCACAAAAAGCUAAAAUAAUCUAACAUUGUGGACAGUUGCAAAAAGCUUUUAUAAGAGGUACUGAUUCAAAGCUAGAAAUGAAAAUUAUUCAGUUUGCUUUUACCAAAUCAGUUUGAGAUUUAUGUGUAGAAGUAGGAAUCUUUUAUUCUACCAACAUUCAUGAACAUGCCUCAUACAUGUAAAUUGAUGAUUUGAGAUUGAUAUCCAGCUUUGCAAUUGUGGCAUUUAAAGAGAUUCUUCUAGAAGAAGAAGCUUAUAUAGGUUAUGCUACCAUCAAUUUAAUUUUACUACUGACACAUCGUCCAUCAUCUAAAUAUAUUUUCUGAGUUCUACAUAUAAGUAGUUAGAAGAAAAUUUCCAAAUUUUAUUUGUCAUAUGAUCACUUUGAUUAGGAAUCAAAAACUAGUAAGAUUUACGUCGAUCAUAAUGAUACACACAAACACAGAAUACAGAUAGUGAUAUGUUGUACCUGGAGAGAGGAAAAUUCCUACAGUUAUACCAGGUGAAUAUUUUAUUACUACAGUCAGGGACAUAUUUUGGUACUCAUAAUUGAUCAUACGUGCAUUAUAGUUUCUUUGUUUGAAUAGGUUCUCAAUUUUGUAAAUCUGGACUAGACUCAAAUAGUUUCCUCAAAUUGAUGACUGAGCUUUUUCUUGCAUAUGUGCUACCAUGUGGGACUGAACUUUUGUGAGUUUUGUAACCACAUUAAUGAAUGACCAAAGUGAAUACUUCUGAAACUUUUGGAGAGGGUCUUUACGAGGGUUUAGAAAGUGAGGCUUCUAAUUUGUUGGCAGAAUGGGGUUAUUUUAGGUCGUUGCCUUGUGUUUUCUCUGCGUAAGGCUUGAUAUUCUAUCCUGGAAUUAAUUUCCUCUGCUACCAUACAAUUGUGGCAGGGCAAGAUGACUGCUUUGUUUUGUUUUCGAAUCUUUGAUGAAGCUAUUCUAUUUUUUAUUUUUGAUGAUCCUACUAGUGCCUCACCAACUAGUACCUUUAAAUUUUAUUUUUGGUGUUGUGCCUCCCAAUGCUUCGCUCCAAAUGGAUCUUGGGUUAGUCUCGUGGAGGAUUGUAUCUGACAUUACUAAGGAUAGGAAGGUCCUUAAGAAGAUCUUGAAGGAAGGAGAGGGAUAUGAAAGACCAAAUGAUGGAGCUAUGGUUCUAGGUACAGUUUUGCUAAUAAAAGCUUUUAAAGAUUUUUGUACUUUGAUUUCAUUUGUAAAGUUGAAAAUAUCAUGUCUUCAUUUUCUUUAGGUUUUUUAGUUUUGACAAAGUUGGAAGAUAUACUUGAUUACUUAUAUAAUGCUAACAUGUGUUUAGUUACUUUGUUAUGCGUAAAAUUUAGUCUUGUAGUUGUAAAUCAUGUUCAUUUAA